rnacentral:rRNA from 1 species
UACAGAGGUCUCAAGCGGUGUUCGGAUUCAUUGGGCGUAAAGGGUGCGUAGGUGGCGGGGUAAGUCAGGUGUGAAAUCUCGGAGCUCAACUCCGAAACUGCACUUGAUACUGCCUUGCUCGAGUACUGGAGAGGAGAUUGGAAUUUACGGUGUAGCAGUGAAAUGCGUAGAUAUCGUAAGGAAGACCAGUGGCGAAGGCGAAUCUCUGGACAGUUACUGACACUGAGGCACGAAGGCCAGGGGAGCAAACAGG